rnacentral:rRNA from 1 species
GUGUGGAGCCGUAGCGAAAGCGAGUUUUAACUGAGCGUUCAGUUACUUGACGUAGACCCGAAACCGGGCGACCUACCCAUGAGCAGGAUGAAGCGAAAGUAAAAUUUCGUGGAGGUCCGAACCCACGAGCGUUGAAAAGCUCGGGGAUGACUUGUGGGUAGCGGUGAAAUUCCAAUCGAGCCCGGAGAUAGCUGGUUCUCCCCGAAAUAGCUUUAGGGCUAGCCUCAAGGUGAGAGAUACGGAGGUAGAGCACUGAAUGUCCUAGGGGGUAUUGCACCUACCGAAGACUAUCAAACUCCGAAUGCCGUCAUCUUAUACUUGGGAGUCAGACUGUGGGUGAUAAGAUUCAUAGUCGAAAGGGCAACAGCCCAGAUCGUCAGCUAAGGUCCCUAAAUGUAAGUUAAGUGGUAAAGGAUGUGGGAUUGCACAGACAACCAGGAUGUUGGCUUAGAAGCAGCCACUCAUUCAAAGAGUGCGUAAUAGCUCACUGGUCGAGUGAUCCUGCGCCGAAGAUUUCCGGGGCUAAAACUUACUACCGAAGCUACGGCAUCAGUAAUGAUGGGUAGGGGAGCUUCCCAUACGGGUUGAAGCAUGACCGUAAGGACAUGUGGACAGUAUGGGAGUGAGAAUGUUGGCAUGAGUAGCGAGAUGUGGGUGAGAAUCCCACAGGCCGUAAACCCAAGGUUUCCAGGGGAAGGUUCGUCCGCCCUGGGUUAGUCGGGACCUAAGCUGAGGCCGAAAGGCGUAGGUGAUGGACAACAGGUUGAUAUUCCUGUACUACCGAUAACCGUUUGAGAGAAGGGAUGACACAGUAGGAUAAGCUAAGCACACUGUUGGUUAUGUGUGCCCAAGCAUUGAGGCAGUCAAAGUAGGCAAAUCCGCUUUGAUAAUGCUGGGAUGUGAUGGGGAGCGAAAUUUAGUAGCGAAGUAGCUGAUUUCA